rnacentral:tRNA from 1 species
CAUUAGAUGACUGAAAAAGUACUGGUCUCUUAAACCAUUUAAUAGUAGUAAAACCUGCUUCUAAUGA